rnacentral:rRNA from 1 species
AUUGAACGCUGGCGGCAUGCCUUACACAUGCAAGUCGAACGACAGCGGGGGAGAAGCUUGCUUUUCCUGCCGGCGAGUGGCGAACGGGUGAGUAAUACAUCGGAACGUGCCCUGUAGUGGGGGAUAACUAGUCGAAAGAUUAGCUAAUACCGCAUACGACCUGAGGGUGAAAGUGGGGGACCGCAAGGCCUCAUGCUAUAGGAGCGGCCGAUGUCUGAUUAGCUAGUUGGUGGGGUAAAGGCCUACCAAGGCGACGAUCAGUAGCUGGUCUGAGAAGACGAUCAGCCACACUGGGACUGAGAAACGGCCCAGACUCCUACGGGAGGCAGCAGUGGGGAAUUUUGGACAAUGGGCGAAAGCCUGAUCCAGCAAUGCCGCGUGUGUGAAGAAGGCCUUCGGGUUGUAAAGCACUUUUGUCCGGAAAGAAAUGGCUCUGGUUAAUACCUGGGGUCGAUGACGGUACCGGAAGAAUAAGGACCGGCUAACUACGUGCCAGCCGCCGCCGUAA